UACGGGGGGAGCAAGCGUUGUUCGGAUUUACUGGGCGUAAAGGGCGCGUAGGCGGUUCGGCAAGUCGGAUGUGAAAUCUCCACGCUUAACGUGGAGGGGCCAUUCGAAACUGCCGUGACUCGAGUCCGGUAGGGGAGUGCGGAAUUCCCGGUGUAGCGGUGAAAUGCGCAGAUAUCAGGAGGAACACCGGUGGCGAAGGCGGAUCUCUGGGCCAUUACUGACGCUGAGGAGCGAAAGCGUGGGGAGCGAACAGG
rnacentral:rRNA from 1 species